AGGGCCACCGGAUCGACUCCACGGGUCACCACGAGGUAGUCACGCAUGACAAUGCCGUGGCGGUUCUC
rnacentral:sRNA from 1 species